rnacentral:lncRNA from 1 species
UAAAUUAAAAUAUUGUUUGUUUGCCCUUUUCCGACCCUAUAUUUUGAAACAGGGUAGGUAGGUAGGUAAAAUAUUUUAUUUUUCUUUCCCAAAAAAUAACUUAGCUCGGUUCAUUUUUGUCAUGGGUAGGCAGGUAGGUAUAAUAUUUUAUUUUAUAGAUACAAAAUCUGCAUGAUGUCAUUUUUGUCUGUAUUGCUUUUGUUUAAGUAUGCUUUUGCUAAUAAGUUUCUAGGACUAUUAGUAUAAUAGUCCCAAGUUUUGAGAAAAAAAAUAUCAUGUAGAAUGUGAAGGUAAU